rnacentral:pre_miRNA from 1 species
CUGUAGGGCCAUCUGUCUUUAAGUAGGGAUGAAUUACUCUAAAAAAAAAAAGUGAAUCCUAGAUAGGUUUCCCUUUAAGCCAGGUGUCUUGU